rnacentral:rRNA from 1 species
AUGAACGCUGGCGGCGUGCUUAACACAUGCAAGUCGAACGAUGAAGCCCAGCUUGCUGGGUGGAUUAGUGGCGAACGGGUGAGUAACACGUGAGUAACCUGCCCUUAACUCUGGGAUAAGCCUGGGAAACUGGGUCUAAUACCGGAUAGGAGCGCCUACCGCAUGGUGGGUGUUGGAAAGAUUUAUCGGUUUUGGAUGGACUCGCGGCCUAUCAGCUUGUUGGUGAGGUAAUGGCUCACCAAGGCGACGACGGGUAGCCGGCCUGAGAGGGUGACCGGCCACACUGGGACUGAGGCACGGCCCAGACUCCUACGGGAGGCAGCAGUGGGGAAUAUUGCACAAUGGGCGAAAGCCUGAUGCAGCGACGCCGCGUGAGGGAUGACGGCCUUCGGGUUGUAAACCUCUUUCAGUAGGGAAGAAGCGAAAGUGACGGUACCUGCAGAAGAAGCACCGGCUAACUACGUG